rnacentral:rRNA from 1 species
GAUGAACGCUGGCGGCGUGCCUAAUACAUGCAAGUCGAGCGAACAGACGAGGAGCUUGCUCCUCUGACGUUAGCGGCGGACGGGUGAGUAACACGUGGAUAACCUACCUAUAAGACUGGGAUAACUUCGGGAAACCGGAGCUAAUACCGGAUAAUAUAUUGAACCGCAUGGUUCAAUAGUGAAAGACGGUUUUGCUGUCACUUAUAGAUGGAUCCGCGCCGCAUUAGCUAGUUGGUAAGGUAACGGCUUACCAAGGCGACGAUGCGUAGCCGACCUGAGAGGGGGAUGGGCACAGUGGAAACUGAAAGCGGGUCCAGGCGCGAAGGGAGGGCAGCAGUGGGGAAGCUUGGGAAAGGGGGGGAAGACUGAAGGAGAAACGCGGGGGGGGGGAAGAAGGGUUUCGGGCGGUAAAACGGUGUUAUGGGGGAAGAAAAAAUGGGUAAGUAACGAAGCCGGUUUUACGGGAACCGAUAAAGAAGGCCAGGGUAAACCAGGG